rnacentral:rRNA from 1 species
AGCGCUGGCAGCGUGCAUACACACGCAAGUCGAACGAUGAACGCAUUCUUCGCGAAUGUGGAAGAGUGGCAAACGGGUGAGGACACACGUCAAUGCAAUCUGCCCCUCGGUCGGGGACAACUCUUGUGAUAACGAUGAGCUAAUACCCGAUACGCUGUGGGAUGUGAAGAGAAGUUUCGCCGAGGGAUGAUCUUGCGUCUGAUUGAGCUAGUUGGUACGGUAAUGGCGUACCAAGGCGACGAUCAGUAGCUGGUCUGAGAGGAUGGACAGCCACAUUGGAACUGAGACACGGUCCAAACUCCUACGGGAGGCAGCAGUGGGGAAUUUUCCGCAAUGGACGAACAGUCUGACGGAGCGACGCUGCGUGAAGGAUGACGCCCCGCGGGUUGUAAACUUCUUUUCUCGAAGAAGAAGCUCUGACGGUAUUCGAGGAAUAAGCAUCGGCUAACUCCGUGCCAGCAGCCGCGGUAAGACGGAGGAUGCAAGUGUUAUUCGGAAUGAUUGGGCGUAAAGAGUCUGUAGGCUGUAUAGAAAGUCUUUUGUUAAAUGCCUC